CCGGUAUUUAGCGUUACGAGUUUCGACGAGCAACUCGCCGGAAAACAACCAUUAGGUUUAGCAGAGAAGAAGAGAAGGUUCUAGAAGGAUAAUAACGAUGAGUCGUAGCUUGGGGAUUCCGGUGAAGCUUCUACACGAAGCAACAGGGCACAUAGUAACCGUUGAAAUGAAGAGCGGUGAGCUUUACAGAGGAAGUAUGGUUGAGUGCGAGGAUAACUGGAAUUGUCAGCUCGAAAGCAUAACUUACACUGCCAAAGAUGGAAGGGUGUCACAACUGGAACACGUUUUUAUUCGAGGCAGCAAAGUCAGGUUCAUGAUAAUUCCUGAUAUGCUUAAGAAUGCUCCCAUGUUCAAGCGGCUAGAAUCCAGAAUCAAGGGCAAAGGUUCAUCACUCGGUGUUGGACGGGGACGUGCUAUGGCCAUGCGAGCUAAGGCUCAGGCUGCAGGUCGUGGAGCAGCACCUGGUCGAGGUGUUGUGCCUCCUGUGAGAAGAUGAUCUCCCUGCAUCGGUUGGUCUCUGGUUUUUGAGUUCGUAAAUUCAUUGUAAUGGUUCGAGGCCAACUUACACGUACCUCGAUUAAUUUCACAGAUUAUUUGGCACCUCCACCAGCAACAUGUACUAGGUAAUGUUCACCAAGACUAGAAUAGAUGGGAAGAAACCAUCUAGCCUGGAUAUGGUUAUUCUUAGAGAUACUAAAGGAAAUGGUCUGUUUAGGAAGGCAGCUUCUUGUGGUUAGUUCUUAUUGCAAUCGAUGUUGGUAUCCAUUGAAUUUCACUAGAAUGUUGUAGUAUUCCUUUUGUUAGGAAUACUACAUGAUUUUUAAGUGCUUCUUUUCAUCUUUAAUUAGAAGUUUUGGAGGGAUCGUUUUAUUUCUAAUGUGGAACUUUUAUAUAGUAAGUUGGAGGAUAUAAAUAUCAGUUAAUUAA